rnacentral:rRNA from 1 species
UACAGAGGUCCCGAGCGUUGUUCGGAUUCACUGGGCGUAAAGGGUGCGUAGGUGGUGAGGUAAGUCGGAUGUGAAAGCUCGGAGCUCAACUCCGAAAUGGCAUUGGAAACUACCUCGCUAGAGGAUCGGAGGGGAGACUGGAAUUCUCGGUGUAGCAGUGAAAUGCGUAGAUAUCGAGAGGAACACCAGUGGCGAAGGCGAGUCUCUGGACGAUUCCUGACGCUGAGGCACGAAAGCUAGGGGAGCGAACGGG